ACUUCAGAUAGCCCAGUUGGUAGAGCAUGAGGCGCUUAACCUCAGAACUGCAGGUUCGAGUCCCACGUUGGGUA